UACGUAGGGUGCGAGCGUUAAUCGGAAUUACUGGGCGUAAAGCGUGCGCAGGCGGCGCCGCAAGUCAGGCGUGAAAUCCCCGAGCUUAACUUGGGAAUGGCGCUUGAAACUACGGUGCUGGAGUGUGGCAGAGGGAGGUGGAAUUCCACGUGUAGCGGUGAAAUGCGUAGAGAUGUGGAGGAACACCGAUGGCGAAGGCAGCCUCCUGGGCCAACACUGACGCUAAUGCACGAAAGCGUGGGGAGCAAACAGG
rnacentral:rRNA from 1 species